GAUGAACGCUGGCGGCGUGCCUAAUACAUGCAAGUCGAGCGAACAGACGAGGAGCUUGCUCCUCUGACGUUAGCGGCGGACGGGUGAGUAACACGUGGAUAACCUACCUAUAAGACUGGGAUAACUUCGGGAAACCGGGGCUAAUACCGGAUAAUAUAUUGAACCGCAUGGUUCAAUAGUGAAAGACGGUUUUGCUGUCACUUAUAGAUGGAUCCGCGCCGCAUUAGCUAGUUGGUAAGGUAACGGCUUACGAAGGCAACGAUGCGUAGCCGACGUGAGAGGGUGAUCGGCCACACUGGAACUGAGACACGGUCCAGACUCCUACGGGAGGCAGCAGUAGGGAAUCGUCCGCAAUGGGCGAAAGCCUGACGGAGCAGCGCCGCGUGAGUGAUGAAGGUCUUCGGAUCGUAAAACUCUGUUAUUAGGGAAGAACAAAUGUGUAAGUAACUAUGCACGUCUUGACGGUACCUAAUCAGAAAGCCACGGCUAACUACGUG
rnacentral:rRNA from 1 species